rnacentral:rRNA from 1 species
AAAGCACUUUCGACGGGGACGAUGAUGACGGUACCCGUAGAAGAAGCCCCGGCUAACUUCGUGCCAGCAGCCGCGGUAAUACGAAGGGGGCUAGCGUUGCUCGGAAUGACUGGGCGUAAAGGGCGCGUAGGCGGAACAUACAGUCAGAUGUGAAAUUCCCGGGCUCAACCUGGGGGCUGCAUUUGAUACGUGUGAUCUAGAGUGAGGAAGAGGGUCGUGGAAUUCCCAGUGUAGAGGUGAAAUUCGUAGAUAUUGGGAAGAACACCGGUGGCGAAGGCGGCGACCUGGUCCUUUACUGACGCUGAGGCGCGAAAGCGUGGGGAGCAAACAGGAUUAGAUACCCUGGUAGUCCACGCUGUAAACGAUGUGUGCUGGAUGUUGGGCGACCUAGUCGCUCAGUGUCGUAGCUAACGCGAUAAGCACACCGCCUGGGGAGUACGGCCGCAA